rnacentral:lncRNA from 10 species
AUGGAGAUCCGUAUCCGAUUUGUGGCAGGGCCCACAAGGAGAGAGGAGUACCCCAUGCAGGCGAAUCGCCUCGUUUUGUCUGCAGAGCCAAGAGAGGCUGAAGUUGGCUGCAGGACAGUUUUCAGCGUCCGAGGAUGGGGUGGCCGGUCAGGCAGACCUGCCCCGCAGGAUGUUCCCGGGAGCAAGCAGUGAGCCCGCCCGCCCCCACGCUCCCUGCCCGGGCGCCCAGCGUGGAGGCUCCCCUGGUCUCCCCACACGGCCGGGGCCUCGCCCCAGCCCCAGCGCAGCCCCUCACCAGCUCCCAGAAACCGGUGAGAAGCAGCCCAUAGCUUGUUACCUGUUUAUCCGAAGGACAGAUCGGUGCUCAAGAAAGGUAAGUUGUACAGAAAGGGAGGGUGAGAUGAAAUUUAAGGAUUAAUUUGAGGGAAGCUGAGAAGCCUCCUGUCCAAAUCA